rnacentral:tRNA from 1 species
UCCGUCAUCGUCUAGUGGUUAGGAUGUGGCCCUCUCACGGCCGAGGCCGGGGUUCGAUUCCCCGUGACGGAG